rnacentral:rRNA from 1 species
ACGGAAGGCAGCAGUGGGGAAUAUUGCACAAUGGGGGAAACCCUGAUGCAGCGACGCCGCGUGAGUGAAGAAGUAUUUCGGUAUGUAAAGCUCUUUAAGUUGGGAAGAUAAUGACGGUACCAACAGAAUAAGCCCCGGCUAACUACGUGCCAGCAGCCGCGGUAAUACGUAGGGGGCAAGCGUUAUCCGGAUUUACUGGGUGUAAAGGGAGCGUAGACGGCAUAGCAAGUCUGAAGUGAAAUCAUAGGGCUCAACCCUGUAAUUGCUUUGGAAACUGUUAAGCUCGAGUACCGGAGGGGCAGGCGGAAUUCCUGGUGUAGCGGUGAAAUGCGUAGAUAUCAGGAAGAACACCGGUGGCGAAGGCGGCCUGCUGGACGGUAACUGACGUUGAGGCUCGAAAGCGUGGGGAGCAAACAGGAUUAGAUACCCUGGUA